AGAAGAAUAACAGUGCAUUUCUCCUUUGGCAGAGAUACUUUGCAUUCAGUAAUAUGGAAAUGAUAUUAAUUGAAUUGCAUAUGUAUAGCUUUUGCCAAAGGAGAAUUGCCCUGCCAUUCCUGC
rfam:Ipomoea nil DNA, scaffold: scaffold0211, cultivar: Tokyo-kokei standard.